GAAAUGACGGGUGAGCGACGGUGGGUUCCGGUGUCGAAAUUGACACUUCCGAAAACCCGAAUCGGAACGAUUAUCCGACGAUAAUCGUUUCGCAACGAAUUAAUGUUUUUCCUGCCAAGUCACACUAAAAUAGGUGUUUAGUGGCAGCGGGCGACUCUUAUCCUGAGUCGGUGUGUCCCGGGACUGUUCGUAGGUCCCGGCAGAGUCCCGGUGCGGUUUUCAGGACUUCCGGUGUAUUCGGCAAUCGGUUUUGGGAAACCGAUUCCCGUGAGGCCAUGAGUGGGGAUUGUGAGUAGCGUUACAUGUUAGUAGGUUAGAUUCUAACCCGGUGGACCUUUCGUAGGNGCUAAGCCUUGUUGGCUGGUCAACUGCGUUGUUUCGAGAGUUUGGAAACGACGGGUGAGCGACGGUGGGUUCCGAUGUCGAAUUGGACACUUCCGGGAACCCGGAUCAGAACGAUUAUCCGAGGAUAAUCGUUUCGAUGUGAGGCGGUAUGUUUGCUGCCAUGUCGCACGAAUGUUUGUGUUUAGUGGCAGCGGUGACUCUUAGCACGAGUCGGUGCGUUCCGGGAUAGUUCGUGUGUCCCGGCGGAGUCCCGGUGUGAUUUUCGGGACUUCCGGCGAGUUACGGUAAUCGGUUUUGGAAAAUCGAUUCUCGUGGGUUUAUUUGUGGGGUUGUGCAUCUAGUGUUUCUUAUUUGUGGGUUACAUUCUAACCCGGUGGACCCUUCGUAGGUCCGGUUGACUUUCUUUCGCAGUCGGGAGAUCAGUGCUACAUACGUACAGGUGGGUACUUCGAUCCGAAGUCGGUACAGUGAUGCACGCUCGGUGAUAUCUUCUUACCCUUGCUCUCUUGUUACUAUAUUGUGCAUAUAUAUAUAUAUAUAUAUUAUGUUGAGCCUAGCACCUUCAUUAUUCUUGUUACGCUCUACUUGGUUGUUUCAUGUCUAGUAUCAUAAAUAGAAGUAGAGCUGGUUUAUGACUGAUUGUGAGAUCCGUGACCUAGUUGGUCAGUUCUAGUAUCUAGUACUGUGACCUAUUCGGUAGGUUCCUUGACUUCUCUCGUUCGAUGACCGUUGAUGUCGGUAUACCCUGAGGGGUGGGAUUGUCGGCUAGUGCUGAUAGAUGAUUAUAGUUUACACAGAUCCGUCAUUUGACAUUAUACGACUUAGUCGGUCGGUUUCGUGACUUUUAUUGUUUGAUGAGCUAUGAGGUCGGUGUACCCUGAGGGGUAGAAUUGUCGGCUAGUGGCUCACAGUAGUUCUGGAUUAUAUUGAUACACUCUUGUGAUCUAUUGGUCGAUUCUUGUGUAUAUACUUUACUUGACCUAUUGAUCAGUACUUGCAUAUCUUCGAUAGGACAUUGAGUGGUUCCAUCCUAGUUGACCUGAUUGGUCGGUACUUGUGUUCCUUACAGUUCGAUGACCUUUUGAGUAAGUGUGCCCCGAGGGGCAGUGAUUGUCGGCUAGUUGCCGACGGUUGGCUAUUGAGCAUAUUAGCAUUGAUCGCCACUACUCGUACUGUAAGGACUGAGAUUUUUACAGUGCAACUAAACUCUCUGUUGAAGAUGUUUAUGUGUGUAAUUUAAUUACAUAAACACGCGUCAAGUUUCAGGAGAAAAUGAGCUAAAAUGGAGAAGUUACGNNNNNNNNNNNNNNNNNNNNNNNNNNNNNNNNNNNNNNNNNNNNNNNNNNNNNNNNNNNNNNNNNNNNNNNNNNNNNNNNNNNNNNNNNNNNNNNNNNNNAGAACGUGGAUCAGGCACGCGGCAGGCUGAGGCCCGCGUGCUAAGUUGACCACGGUAACCAGUAUCACCGUGUUCAACACCGGUGAAUGGUUUCAACUGUGUUUUAGAAACAUAUCUUUUUCUUACUAUUUUUUGUAUAUGAAAAGUGGAAUAAAGGAGUAGGGAUGUCAUAAUAUGGAUAUGCCGAAUAUUACCGGAUCAAACCCGAAUAUAAUUUAUAAUAUAGUAUAAUAUAUAUUAUACCUAUGAUUAUUUAUAUAUAUAUCAAUUUAUUUUUAAUUAUUUAUACAUAUAUAAAAUAUUUAAUAAUGUUUAUUUCUUUAGAUCUUCAUCUUAUUCCGGGUUUUAAAAUCUAUACGUUUGAUGAAGAUCUAAGGAAUAAAAAUUAUUAAUAUUUAUAUAUUGUAUACAUAACCAGUGGUCGGUAGAACCAAAUAAUACGUUUAAUAGGUAUAAUUAUAUUCGGGUUUGGAUCGAUAAUAUUUGAAUAUCUCAUAUCUAUUGAUCAUCCUACUCUUAUUCCACUUUCAAUAUAAAAUAUACGUAAGAAACCACUUGAACCAUUCACCGUGUCUAAACACGGGAAUGGUUCACCGUGUUCAACUGUAAUACCCUGGCCCCAGCUGCCACGUGGCGCUGGCGGGCGCUCCGUGGGAGCAGGGCCAUUUUUGCAAUUAUUAAUUUUGAUAGGGCUAUUUUUAAAAUAAAAAUUGCUCAAAGGACUCUUUUUGAAAACCCACGCACACUUGGACAUAUGCAACGAGCGUGCAGCGUGUGCGACGAGAUGCACGCACGGCCAAGAGCUGCGAGUUAGUGUUUUUGUAUGUUUGACAUUAUAUUCAUAUAUGGAGGUUAUCGGGUAGUUGGAUCUUUAGUACAGUAAAAAGAAUCCAAUAAUGAACUUGAGUUGAAGCGGAGUUUAAGAACAUGUUGAGACGCAAAUAGUUUGUGGCGUCGAAAGGUACAUGUUGAUGGGCUAGAGAAUUUUGAGGAUCAAAUCUUUUCUGUGGACUCAGUAAGUUUUGAAGCGAGGUUGGUUUUGAUUCCGAAAGUUUCGGGCAUGGUCAUAGGACGCUCGGCCAAUGCAUUAAGUGCUCUGUUCGAAAUAUUGAGGUUACUACUCACAACAAAGUUGUGGGUCGUCGCAGAAAUAUUGUGAACGUUUGAGAUUUUCGUGGGUAGCUUAGCUAAGUGAUAACGGUAAGCAUGUGACUCACAUAGGAGGUUUCCGAAUACUCGAUUGAUAUUCUGGCGACUGAAACAUAUGUCGCGCUAGGCAAGUGCUACUGAGGUUUUCGGACGUUUGAAAAUGGUCUAGGCAAAUCAAAUGUGUUCGAAUAGGCUCUCUGGUUAGUGUAUUUGUUGGAAAUUGUUGGAAAUUGAAGGGUUACAGCAAUAUUGGCAUUCCUAUAAUAUGGCUUUUUUUCUAGCAGCGUCCAUCUUUAUGGCGAAAGAAAAACAUCCCAGCUUUUUUUCAUCACAUUUUCCUUCACAGAUCUUAUUAUAUUAUAUCUAUUAAUUAUUAAUUAAUACAUGAAAGGGCAACUUUGGGACCCUCCUUUAUACUUGGGGAAGGGAUUGUGGCUCAUAUAAAAUUUUUAAAAAAUUAAUUUCAGCAUGUUCCACAAUUUUUUUGUUAUACAUGAAGGGCAACCUUUGAGGCCUUCCUUAUUUUGGGGAUGGAUUGUGGGGCAUCAAUAUAAAUUAAAAAAUUUAAUUCCAAUAGGUCACCAAUCUUUUUGUUAUUUUAUUUUGAGUCUCUACAUAUUUUUUGUGUACCAUUAAGAAUUUAAUGUCUUGAUUUCAUCGGGGAUAAAAUGACAUUGUCAAAGUCCCUAAAAAAAGACCUCACCUUAUUUUGAGGGGGUUGUGGGGGCCCACAUAUAAUUUUUUUAAGAAUUAAUUGCACUUGGUCCCAACAUUUUCGCUAUUUUUUACUUUGGUCAUUAAACUUUUUUUUUGCAAUCAAAUUUUCAAAUCUAAUCUCUUAGGGUGCGUUUGGUUCGCGCUAUCUUUUAAAGAUUCCUAUUAUCCAAUGGGAAUAAAAAAAUAUGACGGUGUUUGGCUAAACGCACUAAGUAAUCUAGUUGGUAAUAUUGGAUUCACUUCGGAAUAAGAUUUACCCCAAAGUACUAAUCUCAUUCCUUUGAGGGAGGGUGGGUAUCCUCAUAUUAAUGGAUUGGGGUAAUCAUAAUAUGUCUAAUCUUUUUCUUUCUUCCUACCUGUAAGGACUGAGAUUUUUGACAGUGCGACUAAACUCUCUGUUGAUGAUGUUUAUGUGUGUAAUUUAAUUAUAUAAGCACUCGUCAAGUUUCAGGAGAAAAUGAGCUUAAACGGAGAAGUUACGCGAUUAUUAGUUUUCACUUAAGUGAAUAGUAACUCCGGUUUUCCGAAGAGGCCACGGAGUAGAGUUGGCUUCUGGUGCGUAUCGGACUCCGUUCAUAGCAGUCCAAUAGCUCAUUUCGAAGGAUUCAGCUAUUCUGGAACUACUAGCGCUGACAGAUUUUGAGUUUGAUGCACGAAUUUCGAGAAAAUCCGAAAAUACGUGUUUUAUAUGUAUGUAUGUGUUAUUCCUUCUAUUGGAAAGAAAGUUUGGAUUUUGUCGUGAAUCCGUGGUCGAUCGUGGUGAAACAAAAUCGUAGCUUUGUUGUCUCCGAAGUGCUGAUCGCACUGGUAAAAUCCGUUCGCAAAUCUGACGGACGGAUCUACGGAGAUCGCACGUUGAUCGAGGAGAGUUCGGUGUUGGCAAAACGGUAAUUUCGCAAAAGUUGCGACAUUUUAUGUACCGAAUCGCGUGAGAUCGGACGUGGAGGUAUGUACGCGCAAGUUGCAUGCCCUGGCAGGGGCUGAACCUUAAAUAUUUUGUGUUGGAGGGGUUUUCUGCAAAAGUCCACUUGUAUAAUAUUAGUGGUAGUUAGGUUUUUGGCACGAAACGACUAGAUCGAGUCACCCUUCCUGCCCCAGCAAACCUGUAUGACUUUCAACUCAUCUAGCCUGCGUGCUGAACCCUCCGAAGCCGGCGGAGCAACCCGCCACCGGAAAAGUCCAACAUUCCUGCGCCUUCCCUCCAACCUUGCCGAGGAUGUACCCAGCACACCUGACCGAGCCAGCUCGAGUGAAGGUGAGCCCACGACCAGGCACCCGCCGCACCCGUACCGCCGCUGCCCACCGUCGCCGUGCGCCGGAGCCGCCGUAGCGUCGCCCAGGGACACCACCCGCAGGCCGCAGCUGGGUGGCUCGGUGUGUGAGCCUGCUGCUCGCUUCCCGACGGCCGCGGGCGUCUCCGCCGCGACGGCACCAGCAGCCACCGAUCGCACCCUUGGUGAGCGCGCGCGCCGCCGCAGGUGCCCCCUGCGCGCCUCUCGUGCUGUACGGCCGGCGAGGCCCCUUCAUCCGGGCUGCGCGCCCCGGACGCAUGGCUGCCACCGGCCUCGUCCCGCCUGUCGUCCCGACCGUCCGCAGCUCCGCGCGCGCAUGGCCACGCCAACCUCUGAGCCACUUUGACAUCCCGCGCGGGCCUCGCGUUUGGUCCAGCACGUCCGCGCCUCGGCUGCCCGCCGCUGUCCCGGCGGAGCACCGCCCCGUCUGCCGCGACUCGUCACCGCUAUCUGCCUGUCUUUUCCUUUGUUUCCUACUACUCUGUGAGUUGCUUCUCUGUCGCCGAAAUAGCGUGAUGCCUUCUCUCGGUGUUUGUGCGGCUAGCGUUGCAUCUAAUUGUCUGUCCCCGCUCUUUUUUUAUUUUUCCUUCCUGUUCUUUUUUUUUUGUUUUUUUUUCUUUCUCGUGUUGUCGUAUUUUUUUACGUUUUUUAACGCUUCCUUUUGUUUUUUUGUUGGCUCUUUUUCUUCUCUUUUUUCAUUUUGUUUUUUUGUGGUAUGGGCUACUCCUUCUUUUUCUUUUUUUUUUUUUUUUUUUUUUUUCUUGGAGUUUCCUGGAUUAUUCUCUCGUCUCGUUUCUCUUUGUUUUUUUUUUUUUUUUUUUUUCUUUUUUUUGUUCUUUUUUUUUUUUUUUUUUUGUUCUUUUUUUUUUUUUUUUUUUUUUUUUUUUUUUUUUUUUUUUUUCUUUUUUUUUUUUUUUUUUUUUUUUUUUUUUUUUUUUUUUUUUUUUUCUUAAUUUUUUUUUUUUUUUUUUUUUUUUUUUUUUUUUUUUUUUUUUUUUUUUUUUUUUUUUUUUUUUUUGUUUUUUUUUUUUGUUGCUUUUUUUUUUUUUUUUUUUUUUUUUUUUUUUUGUUUAUUUUUUUUUUUUUUUUUUUUUUUUUUUUUUUUUUUUUUUUUUUUAUUUUUUUUUUUUUUUUUUUUUUUUUUUUUUUUUUUUUUCCCGUGCCGACUGCUCCGGUACAGUGUAUUUGGUUGGCCUUCCUUUUGCUAUGUUUUUGUCUUUUGGGGUUCUCUUGAUCUACUUGUUUGGGACGAGGCCAUCUCUUCUUUUUGAUUUUUUCUGAUGGUGUAGUCACUUGUAUUGAUUUUUCCUUGCUUCUUGUUUUUGUCUUCUUGUCAUUUUUUUUUCGUGGUUUUCCUCUUAUUUUUUAUCAUUUAGAUUUCUCGUGUUGUCUUUUUAUAUCUCGAUUUAUGGCGGUCUGUGUGCUCUUCUUGUUUCAUUUUUUUAUUCUUUGUAUGUUUUUCUUUUUUUCUCGCUUUGUUUGUUUUUUUUUUUUUUUUUUUUUUUUUUUUUUUUUCUUUUUUUUUUUUUUUUUUUUUUUUUUUUUUUUUUUUUUUUUUUUUUUUUUUUUUUUUUUUUUUUUUUUUUUUUUUUUUCUGCGUCUCGUCAUCAGUUGGUUUCCGGCAUGUUGUUCUCCGAAGAGGUGACACUUCGGCUCCGUCAUCUUUUUUCGAGAACUGAGUUCAGCUAUGGUAGUUCCGUCUUUUGGUUCUGUUUUUAUCUUGUGUUUGUCGUUGUUAUUUCAUUUGAAUGGAUUUUUUCUUUUUCCGUAAAUUUGCUAUUGAAUAUAUUAUGCGAUUUUGGGUCAUCGGGAGGGCCUUUAUGCAUUUUGGUUCGUCGUGGCUGCUGUUGGCAGCAAGUUAGGGCUGAGGAUAACCUCUGGACUGAUCAUCCAAGGCCCCAAGCCUUUGCAAGUGUCGGAAAGAGACUUUCAGCGCGUUUCUCGGCGAAAUCCGCCGACGGAACGCGGGAUCGGUUCGGAUUCCUUCCGACGGUGCUUCGUGAACUUUUGCGUAGUCGCUGAGCCUUGUUGGCUGGUCACUCGCAUCAUUUUGAGGGUUCAGAAAUGACGGGUGAGCGACGGUAGGUUCCGGUGUCGAAUUAGACACUUCCGGGAACCCGGAUCGAAAUGAUUAUCCGACGAUAAUUGUUUCGACGUGAGGAGUGGUGUUUGCUGCCAUGAUGCACGUUUACUCAUGUUUAGUGGCAGCGGAUGACUCAUAGCUCGAGACGGUAUGUUCCGGGACAGUUCGUGGCUCCCGGCGGAGUCCCCGUGCGAUUACGGGACUUCCGGCGUAUUACGGCGAUCGGUUUGGGAAACCGAUCUCCAUGGGUUUGCUUGUAGGUUGUGGAUUUAGUGGUUAUUAGCUGUGGGUUAGACACUAACCCGGUGGACCUUCCUUAGGUCCGGUUGACGUCCUUUUUCAGUCAGGAGACAGGCGCAGCAUUUGUACAGGUGGGUACUUCGAUCCGAAGUCGGUACAGUGGUGCACGCUCGGUGAUAUCUCUUCUAUCCCUGUUCUUCUAUUGCUAUUUUCGUAUUAUAUAUUGAGCUUGCAUCCCCGUUGUUUCUAUCAUACUCUACUCAUAUGUUUCUAUGCUUAGUAUCAUGUGUAGGAGUAGAGUAGUUUAUCCCUAUGUGAUACUGGUGACCUGAUUGGUCGGUUCUCGUACUUCGUUCGGUGAUUUGAUUGGUCGGUUCUCGUACUUCGUUUCGAUGACCUAGUUGGUCGGUGCUUUUAU
rnacentral:lncRNA from 1 species